AUUUGUUAUUCCAUGAACCUGUCAAUGUGCAUUCUGAAUUGUUCAUGUAUGUGAGGGGAACCAUCGAUUCCGAUGAACACAUAGGGUGUAUUAAAAGCUACCGCUUUUAACAGCAUGGGAAAGAAAUUAAAAAGCCUUGGUGAUGAUUGCCCUUCGGUAAACCCCAUGUUCAGUGUUGGGUUUGGUUCUGCCUCCCUAUAAAGCCAGCUUGAACCUUGAUGUCAUGAGGUGUCUAUUAGGAACAGAGUCUCUGGAAGUAGACAUGCUGUGCAGAAAUGUGUCUUAUUCCAUUGUAGGGUGUUCUAAGAUCCUUCUUGUGACAUUUGUUUCCGGCACAGGGGAGAUAGAAAAUGGUGUCUCAUAAUAACUGAAUUUGGGGGUAUCAUCAGCACCUGGGACUCACAGAAGAGAAAGGAGAGAUGAUUGAAGAAUUGCCUAAUUUUACUAACUGUAGAUUUUUGGAGUGCUUCUUUCUUAUUCUUUUUUCUUCAGUGCUGUAAUUUUUGUAUUUGUGAGAGAUGGAGUAUUUCCAUUAAAGUGAUAGGCAAAGAAGGGUGGAACCAGGCAAGCAUGGAAGAGAUGUAGAAAUAAAAGCAUAUUACACCGGAAGGAGGAAGAGGAGAAAGAGGUGAUGAGGGAUGUUAGUGUACAAAGUCAGACUUUUGGCAGGUGAUCAGGGAAGAGAAGUGGGUGGGCUUCAGAUAGUUGCCAUGCCUUCGAACCUUUGGGUGGCUCAACUCACUUAUCCAUUCCUCAGCUCAGAGAUCCUGCCUCAAAUUGGAUUAGCUGUUCUGGAGUACAGGAGCAGCUAAUUGAUAAAUUAUAAAUAACUAUCUCCACCCACUUCACCCCUCCUGGAUAACUUUGCCCUGUGUUGGUGGGCCAGUGCACUGCUGUUUCCCUUGAAAGUUGCCAAAUAGCACAAAUAGGGAGAGUAAAUUCUAGUGUGAAGAUAUGGCCAAAAGACAGGGCUGAUGAGUUACUCACAACACUCAGCUGAGAACUGGGCAGUGAACUGGUCAUCUCUCAUUUCAGUUUUGAGUUUUCUGUACAGCUGCCUUGGGAGUGCUUUGGCCCUUUCCGCUUUAAGCUUGGAUGGUUGCCUAACUCCUUUAGUACUGAGUUUGGAUGGAUUUAUUCUCAGAGACCUGCCACCUUGAACCCUCAUCCCAUCGCUGGAAUGACACCUUUGGAAAUGAGUAGGUGGGGAAAGGAAGGGGUCAGUGGCCAGAGACUUCUUUAUAGAUGAAACCACCCAUCUGCCCAUGACUCAGCCUAUUGAAAACGUAUGGUACUCUUUUUCUCUUCUCCUAUGCCCUCCGUCCUCUUGACUCUUCAUCUUUCCCUUAAAACUGGCAUUUGCGGUGCCUGUGGACUUUUGCAUAUGAACUUUCUUUCUGUAAGUCACCGCUGUUGCCAUCACUACCAGCUACACUCCUGUGUGCUAGCCAUUGUGCUCUGCAUUGUAGGCCUUAUCAUACUUAAUAUCCAUGAUUCAUCUUGGAGGUCUGUGGUGACAUUUCCUGUGUUUAAUGGUAUUGAUAACAAGGCUCAGUGAGAUGUUAGGUGAUUUCUAUAUGAGAAUCAAAUCCAAAAUUAGUGUCGUCCCUGACAAGUACUAUAUGUGACCUGUCUGAGACUUAAGUAUGAUCUCCAUGUACUUGACUCCUAGCUGCCUCUCAGACGUUGAUUGGUCUUAAGUUCCAGUCUGCCAUCUUACAUUUGCUGUAACAUAUAGCCAUAUAAAUGUCACCUAGUACUGUCACCCUUAGUAUGUCCAAAGUCAACCUUAGUGACAUUUGUCUACAGACCAGUUUCCUGUUCCAAUGCCCACUCUUCCUUACCACACAGCAGAAACCCCUUUCUAACUUCCUCCUUCCUGAUUGUGCCCCCUCCAAGGCAGUCAGUGGAUUGGCUCUAGAGUGUCUUUUGCAUCUCUGCCUGCAUCCAGAACUUAUUUGGUCGUUAUCCUUUCCUAGUUUGUUUCCCUGUGAUUUUUCCCUUCCAGUCAGUCCACUGAUGGAGAACUGUGUAAACUCUGCUGUCUACCACCUGGGAUACAGGAUUAGCCACCUCGCUCAGAGCUGUCUCCACUGUGGCCGUUUUUCUAAAUAAACCUUUUUGCUGGUGCUUAGAUACAAAAGUACUGCUUCAGGCAAAGCCACCACCAGCUUCCCUGGCAGCCCUGCUUACUUUGCUAGCUCUCCCUUUCUCUUGACAGCCCCUUGUCUCUGUUCCUCUGCCCACCACAGUCACACUUACAAUACCUGUUUUACUUGAUGUUGUCCUUGAGUGUCACAUGCAGAGUUGAGCUCUCCCCCCACGCAUCUUUCUCACAACCUAUGUUCAAUUUAUUGGGAAUUGGACCACCCUACUCCAUAGAUUGAAAAUAUGCAGAAGACAAAUAUUUUCAUUGGUUAAUGUCCAGAUGUGCUUAGAAUAAUGUGCUGCAUGAAGAAGGGAUUCAAAGUCCUUCUUAUCUUGCUGUCAAUCAUUUCCCCCAAAGUGAAAAUAAAGCAAAAUUAAAAUUAAAUCUGCUCAUGUAGCUCAGCAGCUCAAAAGCUUUUGGCAGGUUCUCAUCGAGUCAUCGUCAAGUUGUUUUCUGUCUGAGGCUUUACAUAUAACCCGACCCCACUGUGACCUCCGCCAGUCCUGCAACCUUCCAAAGCCUCUGGUGUCCUUUAUGUCAACCCACAUUGCUUUUCCUUUCCUGGGAGUUUUUCUUUGUGAUUUCUUUCUAAAAUGCUUUUAGAUACCCUUUUCUUCUCAAUAUCCUAAGGCUCUGUCUCCUAGGCCUGCCAAACUUCAUGCUUCUGUUAUAAAUUACCUAUACCUAACUGUCUUGCACGACGCAUAGGAUGUAGUCCAUUUCAAUUAUCACAUUCCCCCAGAAAAGUAUAAGUGGCUAUGUCUUGGACACUACUUUCAGUCAUACUACAUGAGCUCAGAAUUUGGUUCAGAACUGUACACGAUAGAUUCCAAUAGAACUGAGUAAUGCUUAACUAAAGCAAAUGGUUGGGGUUAAAUAUGGGGCCAGAAAUAGGUGGGAUUUGAUUUUUCAGUUGUGAUGUUGUUAGUGGCAUCAUCUCCUUCAAAUACUUAACACCCUUUACCUGUCCUUAGUACUGCAACCCACUAAACAAAAGAAUACUAAAGGUCAUGGGGUAAGCAAGGCAUCCUGACUCUAUUACCCUCCUCUACUGGGUCUUCUCUUGGCACUGUAUAUACAAGUAUCAGAGAAGGAAAUGGUUGCAGAUUGUAUAAGGCUAAAAGUGAGGAAGGUCUUGGAUUAAUUGCAAAUGUUUGUCAGAGGAAAGUAUAGCUAUGGCUCGGAUCUUGUCAUUCAAUAAAAGCCCAGUGAUAGAGCAGUAAUCUCUGUGAAGUUAAAUCUAUGGAACUGAUCAGGGGUUCAUGCAUAAUGUCAGUCUCUACAUUCAAAAGAGCAUUGGAUAGCAUGUGGCCAAAGGCAAGUGAGGUUCUACCCAGAAGUGCCUGACAAAGAAGUUCUUUAGAAAUCAGCAUUUUUUUCUAGCUCCAUGACAUCUGCUUAAGAACUGAGAGUCUAUUUGGGUCUGUUUCUCUUUCUCUUGUCCAUUUGGAGACUGUCUAUACUGAGACAAGUGAUCAAAUAAUGUCCCUCAAAAUUGAAUUUGGAGCAGGAGUUGCCAACUCAGAUGCCACAGAGACCUCAUAGCUAUCAUAAAGGCCAGGACUAGGAAGAGGAAGAAAGUGCUAGGUGGUGGUGGUGGAAACUGGCAAAUAGCAGUAUUCAAACCCUGUCCGAGUCAGGAGACCCUUCUCUUCCCCAAAUGAUUGCUACCGUGUAAGAAUAUGGGCUCUAUAUCACUAGAGGGUCAAGAUAUACUGGAAGUAUAUUUUAUAAAACAUCAGCUUCUGACUUCAUUCUCUCCCUGUAGAUGAUUGUGAGUACACAAAGACUAUACAUAGCAGUUGCCAAAUGUGUCAAGUCAACUGAUGAAUCACAAGCUUUGAUCUAUGGCUAGAGAAGAAAGAUAUGGGAACUCUUCUUACUGGACUAGUUGAGCCAAACAUCUAUUCUAGGCCUUUAGAUGUUAGAGGUUACUUAUUUAGUGUGUGUUUUCCCCAUGUAGAUUUGAUCAUUGGCCUUCUAAUGCUAAACUAGCAAACACUGGUCAAACUGGAAGGUGAUAAUCAAGCUCCAUGAACUUGAACAUCAUUUCAUAUAGACUGUAUUUCGCUGGUAAUAACAUUAAGGGAGCUGACUAGAGGAGUUGAGCUCUCUGUUGUCCCUGCUAGAAUUCAAGAGCCCUGCAAAUAAGUUACUGUCUUGAUAGCCAACUAUUUAUGCAAAUUAAUAAAUGCAAUGCCAGCUACUAAUUAUGAAAAUAAACUCAUCUGUGCUCUAUAAAUAUCUAAUUAUAAUAAAAUAGAGGCAAUGUUACAGUUCCAUCUCUUGUCUCAUCUGUUUUUCAUCCACUGAUUUGUCUUCUUAACAAUGAAUAAAAUCGCUUUGUUUUUUAAAAGGCCUACUUUCCAUGUUCCCCCUCCCCUUUCUGCUAAUGUUUUGAAAAUCUUUGGUGCAAAAAUGGAUGUCUUUGAAACAUAAAAGGUAAAUUGCUUGGUUUUAGUUGUUCUGUGUUUCAGCAGUGAUGACUUUGAAAUGGUGCUUUAAAAUAUGAAGGGUGGGUGACUUCUUUAUCUUCUUGUUCAGAAAAUUUCUUUGGACAUUUUUUACACAGUUGUUUUGUUUUGGACCAUUUAAAAACUGUAAAUGUGAACAAUAGUUCUAUUAAUAAAACAUACACUAUGCCAGUGGAUUGUCCCGGCUAAAUUCCA